AAGAAUUUAUUUUAUGUAAAAUAUUAGAUUGUAAAUCUAAAGUAUUAAUUCUUG
rnacentral:tRNA from 1 species